rnacentral:lncRNA from 1 species
UGGUGGAGUCAUCAGUGUUGCUUCACAUAGCCAUCAGUGCCUUUUUCUUUUUGAACUUCUUUUGACUUUUUUUGAGCUGGAAAUAGUUCGAUCUGAAGUGGCCCGACUUCUUGCAUUCAUAACAGAUGAUGGGCUGCUCUUUUUCUUUUUUUUACUUGACUCUCUCUUAGCUGGUGGUCUUCUCUUGAUCUCUUGUCUUUUUUUCCUCAUGAACCAUCUGAAUUUUCUGGUAAUUAUGGCUAAG